UCCAAAACUCAACUUUGAUCUAACAUAAAAUUUGAAGGAUCAAUAUCCAAAUAACUUCCAAAUCCCAAAAGAUCCAAAUGAACACAACUAACAGUUAAACAAAAUCCAACAUAAAAUCCUAAGUCAAAUCCUAAUGAUGACCAUUCCUCAGCCUAGCCAUCACUCCUCACCCGAAUUAAGGGUACCUGAAAAGUAGUCAACAAAUGGGAAUGAACUCACAACCCAAUAAGGAACAUUAAUGCAGUCCAUGGAUCAAACAUUUCAAACUUACUUGCAAAAUAGGAGAUAUUGUAAUCAAUCAUUUUCAUAAAGCUGUGAGUAAAUUAUUUAUUUAUUUAUUUAUUUAUUUGCCAAUACAUUCAAAAUUUCUAACUGUAUGUGUUUAUUUCUGAUUCAAACAAUUUCAUAUCAAAUUCAGUCAAAACAUUCCAAUAAUUUAUUUACUCUGGUCAUCAAACAUCAAAGGGUGCUCAGUUAGGUGGGACUUUUCAAAUGGGUGGCUAGCCUCAAAUUGUUCCUUUAAGGUGGACGGAACCAAACACUACUAGUACUAGUAACCUCUAACCGAAACCCCUAGAGGCUGGGGUUCAAAUCAAUUACAUUCCCCACCAAAAAAUGUAAAGGUCAACUAUUAUAUCUCAUUGACAAGGGCCAAAAGUCAACUAUUAUAUCCCAUUGACAAGGGUCAAACAAACCAGAGUCAAAUAUUUAUUUCAUUUAUUCAAAUUUACAACAUAUAAUAUCUCCACAUUUAUUUGUCAAAAACAUAAUAUAAAAUUCUAACAUACUUUUCAUGCAAAACAGGUUUGAUCCAUGCAUAAAACAGAAUAUAACUCAAACGUUUUCAAAUAAUGUAUAUAUAUAUAUAUAUAUAUAUAUAUAUAUAUAUAUAUAUAUAUAUAUAUAUAUAUAAAAUUGUUUCAAAAAAAGAAUUUAACAACUGCAUUAAUUUCCCUUAAUUCAAAAGAAAUCCUCAAAAACUUUGGAGAGAAAAUAAUCCUGAAAAUCUACUCUUCACCUAACAAAAUAUAAGAGGAAUAACUAUUACCAUUUAUCUAUAAUUUAACUAAUCUAUUCCUUAUUUAAAUAAAUUAACAAAUUCCCAAUUUGUUUCUAAUAACACAAAGCCUUGCCAUUAUUAAAUAAUACAGUACUCAGUACUCAAGUACCCAUCAAAGUUUAACAAUACGGAGUCCUGUUACUAUUAAAUAUUACAUACCUAAGUAUCCAUCAAAGUCUAAUAAUAGAGUAUGUGAAAAUCCACCAACUAGAUUUCAACCAUGAAAUCCUUACAAAAAAAAAAGUGGAUGCAUAGUUCCCACACGCAUGCAACUAAUGCACACACGUUUUUUUCUUCUUCUAAAAAACCUUAAGAUCUCCCCAAUUCCAACAAUAAAUCAAAAUCUUAAAUUUUCACUAUUUGAUAUUAAAACGAAUAAAACAAUAAUAGUAAACUAACCCUAAUCUAAAUCGAAAUCUUCACAGGAAUCUUUUUUUUUUUUCUAAAAAACCUUAAGAUCUCCCCAAUUCCAACAAUAAAUCAAAAUCUUAAAUUUUCACUAUUUGAUAUUAAAACGAAUAAAAAAAAUAAUAGUAAACUAACCCUAAUCUAGAUUUGGGUUUUCCAAAAAAAAAAAUCUAAUGUGCUUGAAAUUAACUAAUGAAUCUAAAAUAAUAAUCUAGGAGUUAGAAUCUUACCUAUAGAGGUUUGUUCUUCAAACCUUGAAGUCUGACCUCAACUUCAUGUUCUCUGGAAACUCUCU
rnacentral:lncRNA from 1 species